rnacentral:lncRNA from 1 species
UCCCCCACCCCAUCUCCUCCCCCACUCCAGAAGCAGUGGUGAUGGCGAUCUCUGAAGAUGAGGAAGAGGAGGACUGGACCAAACAGCUUGUUCUUCUCCCCCUUCAGCUGGGACCAGACGAUCAACCACAGUCUCCUUUUGCAGCCACAGGAUCCUCUCUCACCCUUAGUCCUUUCAAGAGCCUUGUUUCCCCGGGUGACUCGGGCGCCCUGAUUGCAGCUGCCUGCAGCGGGGCUGCCAGGCGUCUGUCCCUUCGGCCGUGUGGCAUGCGUCUGCUGGUGCCAGAGGGGAGGGGGAAGGGGGUAUUAUUUGAAAUGGGAUAGAAGAUAGGAGAGGGGGAGAGUCCCUCCUUUGCUCUACGUUAGUCCUCAGGCUUGCCUUGUGUUGGUUCUUGUCGUUACAUCUGUGCUUAAAGUCCAUCUCCUCCUUUAUACCUGACUGACUUGCCCACAGCAUGGUGGAGGAGAUAGAUAAUGCAGCUGUGGAUUUUUAACGUGAUUAAAAAAAACAAACAACAUACUGAUGUCAGAUGCUUCUCCCCAACACAUUUUGGAAACCGGGCUGAGUGGCUGUGAGAGGGGCAGGACUAGAGGGCAGCUGCAUGUCAUACCGUUCCCGGGUGUAUUUUGUUGGUCCCUCUUGCUGUGCUCACACGCAGUUUCAAACGGCAGCGCCUUCAAGCAACAACUGGGGACUGAAUUUCAUAACAAAGAAAAGUGUUUCUUCUGCUGAGAUUUUGUCAGAGGAAAGGAGCCAGAGGCAACUUCGGAGCUGCUGCUGCUCAAUCUGUGUCCAGGACUCCCUCGCGCAAGAGCAGUUUCUAUACGUGUCUCUGCUACGGGACUGAGAUGUGCCUACUGGGAAUGGGGGCCAGUGCCAGUCCCCUUGGCUCCAUGACCCGCUUUGGGACUGGGGAUACGUCAUAUGGUCAGCUGUCACCCCAACGGUAAUGGGAUAAAGGUGCAAGAGACCCAAGAAGAACUUGUCCAAGGGGCUUGCCCAGGUGCUGCCAUGUGGCAAACAAGUUACCCAUUACUGAAACAUUCAGAGCCCAAAAGUGGAAAUAGUAAUCAUGUUUCAUUAACCUGCAGUGCUCUGAUUGAAGCCACAAGAGCUUCAGAACAGGAUCUCAUGGGCCUCUCUGCAUGUCAUUGCCUUCCACCUCUACUGGGAAUAUCCCCAGCAUCACCACCUUAUUUUCUGGUGCUGUAAAAAGCAUCUGUACAGUGAGUGAUCACUGAGAACAAAAGAAUGAAAGAUUGCCGUGGGAAGCACUGGCAUUCCGGUUUUUUUUCAAAGAAAGACUGUUUUCUUUCUACUUCCACCUUGGAAGCAAGCGAUUUUGAGGCCCAAGAAAGUACCAUCAACCUUUUUGUUUGCUCCCUCCAUACAUUGUUUAUCAGCCUUCUCUGAGCAGUUCAGGAGCUGAAGACUAGCUUCGGGAAGGGUAGCUGAGGCUGCAGCCUGGGCUGCUGCUGCCCUCUCCUGGGUCCGAGGCAGCCAAAAAGCCAACAGCUGAUUUUUUUUUUUUUUUUUUUUUUUUGUGUNNNNNNNNNNNNNNNNNNNNNNNNNNNNNNNNNNNNNNNNUUUUUUUUUUUUUUUUUUUUUAAUGAGAUUCCUGCAAACCUUCGUGCAUGUCUUCUUGCAGCCUUGCAGGGGAAAGAAAGCACUGGGGAGCCUCUCUGAGGGUGUCAGGCCCAGGGAUGCUACCCUGGCUGGCACCAGGGCUGGCCUGGCUGUGCCGUUUGAAGACCUUCUUUCCCUGGAUUCCCUCAUGACCCCUAUCAAAGUUUAUUGCAGGAAGAUGGAUGAUCUGCUUGGCUGGCCCUUGCAAGGGUAAUAGCAAUAUUGUGCAUUGUUUCAACCCUCAGGUGCUACCUGUUCUCUCCAGGAUGGUUUUAUUUAUAUUAAACUAAAAAGCCUCCAAAAUAAGAUGUUACAGCUGAUUAAUUGUACCCCAGAGAAGUCCGCAGUUCCCCUGUCCAGUCCCUCGCCCUGAUUUCAUUGCCAGCUGAAACAAAACCUCCCACUCGCACCUUUUGCUCUGGCUUGCCCAUGCUGUGGGUCUUCUCCACCCAGGACUCUCCCACCCAGCCCUCCAAUGCAGGAGGGACCUCUGCCCAGCUUCUCCUGCUGCAAUGAGGAGGGGGCACCCCCUCCCCAACUGAGCCUCUGCGAAGCAUCUUGUUGAUGCCUCUCCAAAAAGGCCGAG